rnacentral:rRNA from 1 species
GCUUGCUUCUUUUGGAUGAGUUGCGAACGGGUGAGUAACGCGUAGGUAACCUGCCUUGUAGCGGGGGAUAACUAUUGGAAACGAUAGCUAAUACCGCAUAACAGCUUUUGACACAUGUUAGAAGCUUGAAAGAUGCAAUUGCAUCACUACGAGAUGGACCUGCGUUGUAUUAGCUAGUAGGUAGGGUAACGGCCUACCUAGGCGACGAUACAUAGCCGACCUGAGAGGGUGAUCGGCCACACUGGGACUGAGACACGGCCCAGACUCCUACGGGAGGCAGCAGUAGGGAAUCUUCGGCAAUGGGGGCAACCCUGACCGAGCAACGCCGCGUGAGUGAAGAAGGUUUUCGGAUCGUAAAGCUCUGUUGUAAGAGAAGAACGUGUGUGAGAGUGGAAAGUUCACACAGUGACGGUAACUUACCAGAAAGGGACGGCUAACUACGUGCCAGCAGCCGCGGUAAUACGUAGGUCCCGAGCGUUGUCCGGAUUUAUUGGGCGUAAAGCGAGCGCAGGCGGUUUAAUAAGUCUGAAGUUAAAGGCAGUGGCUUAACCAUUGUUCGCUUUGGAAACUGUUAAACUUGAGUGCAGAAGGGGAGAGUGGAAUUCCAUGU